CAUGCCUAAUACAUGCAAGUCGAGCGAAUGGAUUAAGAGCUUGCUCUUAUGAAGUUAGCGGCGGACGGGUGAGUAACACGUGGGUAACCUGCCCAUAAGACUGGGAUAACUCCGGGAAACCGGGGCUAAUACCGGAUAACAUUUUGAACCGCAUGGUUCGAAAUUGAAAGGCGGCUUCGGCUGUCACUUAUGGAUGGACCCGCGUCGCAUUAGCUAGUUGGUGAGGUAACGGCUCACCAAGGCAACGAUGCGUAGCCGACCUGAGAGGGUGAUCUGGCCACACUGGGACUGAGACACGGCCCAGACUCCUACGGGAGGCAGCAGUAGGGAAUCUUCCGCAAUGGACGAAAGUCUGACGGAGCAACGCCGCGUGAGUGAUGAAGGCUUUCGGGUCGUAAAACUCUGUUGUUAGGGAAGAACAAGUGCUAGUUGAAUAAGCUAGGCACCUUGACGGUACCUAACCAGAAAGCCACGGCUAACUACGUGCCAGCAGCCGCGGUAAUACGUAGGUGGCAAGCGUUAUCCGGAAAUUAUUGGGCGUGAAGCGCGC
rnacentral:rRNA from 1 species